rnacentral:rRNA from 1 species
GUUGUAUAGUCAAGUAAUGAAGUGCACAUGGUGGAUGCCUUGGCAGUCAGAGGCGAUGAAAGACGUGACAGCCUGCGAAAAGCGUCGGGGAGGCGGCAAUAUCCUGUGAUCCGGCGAUAUCUGAAUGGGGAAACCCACUUGUCAUAAGACAGGUAUCGUAAAUUUAUUUACGAGGCAAACCGGGAGAAGUGAAACAUCUCAGUAACCCGAGGAAAAGACAUCAAUAGAGAUUCCCCUAGUAGCGGCGAGCGAACGGGGAGGAGCCGACUGAUUAUAAUUUAGAGGAAUGACUUGGAAAGGUCAAUCGUAGAGGGUGAUAAUCCCGUACUCGAAAGGUUAUAAGAAGCAUAUUAAGUAGGGCGGAACACGAGAAAUUCUGUCUGAAGAUGGGGGGACCAUCCUCCAAGGCUAAAUACUCCUGACUGACCGAUAGUGAACCAGUACCGUGAGGGAAAGGCGAAAAGAACCCCUGUGAGGGGAGUGAAAUAGAACCUGAAACCGUGUGCAUACAAGCAGUCGGAGCGGACAUGUUCCGUGACGGCGUACCUUUUGUAUAAUGGGUCAGCGACUUAUAUUCUGUAGCAAGGUUAACCGAAUAGGGGAGCCGUAGGGAAACCGAGUCUUAAUAGGGCGUCUAGUUGCAGGGUAUAGACCCGAAACCGAGUGAUCUAUCCAUGAGCAGGUUGAAAGUGACGUAACAGUUACCGGAGGACCGAACCCACUGUCGUUGAAAAGCCAGGGGAUGACUUGUGGAUAGGGGUGAAAGGCUAAUCAAACUCGGUGAUAGCUGGUUCUCCCCGAAAGCUAUUUAGGUAGCGCCUCGGACGAACACCAUUGGGGGUAGAGCACUGUUUCGGCUAGGGGGUCAUCCCGACUUACCAAACCGAUGCAAACUCCGAAUACCGAUGAGUGAUAUCCGGGAGACAGACGGCGGGUGCUAACGUCCGUCGUCAAGAGGGAAACAACCCAGACCGCCAGCUAAGGCCCCAAAUUCCUAGUUAAGUGGGAAACGAUGUGGGAAGGCACAGACAGCUAGGAGGUUGGCUUAGAAGCAGCCAUCCUUUAAAGAAAGCGUAAUAGCUCACUAGUCGAGUCGGCCUGCGCGGAAGAUGUAACGGGGCUCAAACUAGGAGCCGAAGCUGCGGAUUUAAUUGUUUCAAUUAAGUGGUAGGGGAGCAUUGUGUAAGCCUGUGAAGGUGUGUUGUAAAGCAUGCUGGAGGUAUCACAAGAGCGAAUGCUGACGUGAGUAACGACAAAACGGGUGAAAAGCCCGUUCGCCGGAAGACCAAGGGUUCCAGUCCAACGUUAAUCGGGGCUGGGUGAGUCGACCCCUAAGGCGAGGCCGAAAGGCGUAGUCGAUGGGAAAUCGGUUAAUAUUCCGAUACUUGUUUAUGAUGCGAUGGAGGGACGGAGAAGGUUAUGCCAGCUUGGCGAUGGUUGUCCAAGUGGAAGGAUGUAGUUAGGUUUAGUAGGCAAAUCCGCUAGACUAUUAAUGAGAUCUGAUAGCAAGCUGUACUUGUACAGCGAAGUGGCAAAUACCCUGCUUCCAGGAAAAGCUUCUAAGCGAUAGUCAUAAAGAAAUCGUACCCUAAACCGACACAGGUGGUCAGGUAGAGAAUACCAAGGCGCUUGAGAGAACUCUGCUGAAGGAACUAGGCAAAAUGGUACCGUAACUUCGGGAGAAGGUACGCUGCCGAUGGUGAGUAGUCAUGCACUACAAAGCUAUUGGCAGUCGCAGAUACCAGGCCGCUGCAACUGUUUAUUAAAAACACAGCACUCUGCAAACACGAAAGUGGACGUAUAGGGUGUGAUGCCUGCCCGGUGCUGGAAGGUUAAUUGAUGGGGUUAGCGUAAGCGAAGCUCUUGAU